AAAACUUAUAUCUCAGUACAUGGUGAAAAGGAUGACUUUGUUAAGAUUUCUACAAAGCUUCCAGCUGAACUUCCCUGCAAUCAAAUACACUAAAGUGAAUCCCUACAUAGAUGAAAUCAAUUCAUGAAACCUUUCCUAAUCCAGCUGUUGGAACUGGAUGCCUCCCUUCUCUCUGCUCCCUGGUCAGCCUGAGAUUGCUUCUGAAGUGGAAAGAAUUGAAUAAACCCAAGAUUCCUUUCUGGGAACUGGGCACUUGUCAUCAAAGAGUGGAGUGUCUUUGGAGAAGCUGGUGGCACCAGGAUUUGAGGUCUGGAGAGGCAUGACUGUGCUAAGGUACCACUCUGUCCCUUAGAAGACAUGGACACAAGACAUGAAUAUUAUUGAAUUGAUGACUGCAUCUAUUAAAAAUAUUGUGAUCACC